rnacentral:rRNA from 1 species
ACGGAAGGCAGCCUUGGUGCAUAUUGGGCAAUGGGCGAAAGCCUGACCCAGCGACGCCGCGUGAGGGAAGAAGGUCUUCGGAUUGUAAACCUCUUUCAGCAGGGAAGAAGAAGAUGACGGUACCUGCAGAAUAAGUCACGGCUAACUACGUGCCAGCAGCCGCGGUAAUACGUAGGUGGCGAGCGUUAUCCGGAAUUACUGGGUGUAAAGGGUGUGUAGGCGGAGAAGCAAGUCAGGUGUGAAAUGUAUGGGCUCAACCCAUAGACUGCACUUGAAACUGUUUCCCUUGAGAGUGGGAGAGGUAACCGGAAUUCCUGGUGUAGUAGUGAAAUGCGUAGAUAUCAGGAGGAACACCGGUGGCGAAGGCGGUUUACUGGACCACAACUGACGCUGAGACACGAAAGCGUGGGGAGCAAACAGGAUUAGAUACCCUGGUA